AACCUCCGCAAUGUGAGAAAUCGCGACGGGGGGAUCCCAAGUGCCAUUCUUAACGGGAUGGCUUUUCAUUAGUGUAAAGAGCUUUUGGAAUAAGAGCUGGGCAAGACCGGUGCCAGCCGCCGUGGUAACACCGGCAGCUCUAGUGGUAACAAUUUUUAUUGGGCCUAAAGCGUCCGUAGCCGGUUUAAUAAGUCUCUGGUGAAAUCCUGUAGCUUAACUGUGGGAAUUGCUGGAGAUACUAUUAGACUUGAGACCGGGAGAGGUUAGAGGUACUCCCAGGGUAGAGGUGAAAUUCUGUAAUCCUGGGAGGACCGCCUGUUGCGAAGGCGUCUAACUGGAACGGUUCUGACGGUGAGGGACGAAAGUUAGGGGCGCGAACCGGAUUAGAUACCCGGGUAGUCCUGGCCGUAAACGAUGUGGACUUGGUGUUGGAAUGGCUUUGAGUUGUUCCGGUGCCGAAGGGAAGCUGUUAAGUCCGCCGCCUGGGAAGUACGGUCGCAAGACUGAAACUUAAAGGAAUU
rnacentral:rRNA from 1 species